rnacentral:rRNA from 1 species
CCCUUAGAUGUCCUGGGCCGCACGCGCGCUACACUGAUGCAUGCAACGAGUUUAUAACCUUGGCCUGAAAGGUCUGGGUAAUCUUUUGAACGAGCAUCGUGAUAGGGAUAGAUUAUUGCAAUUGUUAAUCUUGAACGAGGAAUUCCUAGUAAACGCGAGUCAUCAGCUCGCAUUGAUUACGUCCCUGCCCUUUGUACACACCGCCCGUCGCACCUACCGAUUGAAUGGUUUGGUGAAGAUCUCGGACUUCGAUAUUUAUUCUUUAUUGAGUUUAUAUUGUGGGAAGUUAUCUAAACCUCAUCAUUUAGAGGAAGGUGAAGUCGUAACA